rnacentral:lncRNA from 1 species
CCACAGUGCCUUCCGCCCAAGGAGCACCGAGCUGACCACAGUGCCUUCCACCCAAGGAGCACCGAGCAGACCACAGUGCCUUCGGCCCAAGGAGCACCGAGCAGACAACAGUGCCUUCCGCCCAAGGAGCACAGAGCUGACCACAGUGCCUUCCGCCCAAGGAGUGCACAAGGAAGAGGUGGAAGGAGACGUGGAGGAGCAUCUGUGGGAAUCCUAAGAGACGUGAACUUGGUCUGGAAUUCUCCAAUUUCAAACCACAGUGGACGAGCAGCACAGAGAACGGGCGCCGCUGAGGUCCACCUUGCAGCGCAAGGAAACCAGAGAGGGAAACGCACCCACUGGGAAAUCCCACACAGAGGAAGGGAAGCCAGGAGCGGACGGCAGGAGUCUGGCGUCGGACGUGGGAGGUCUCACGUGCCUCACGUGUGGGUGAGAGGGGCUCCAGAAAGAACAGAAGACCACACGGGAAGGGCAGGUGGGAGGAGGGGUGCCGGGGUCUCCCAGCUGAACUUGGGGCAGCUCCGCCUGCAGCCCUCAUCUCGCGCCUGCGCAGGGAGACCAGAGGGGGCUUGUCCACAAGGCAUCCUGGAAGAUGGCCGGCAGCAGGGCUGGGCUGAGGAAGCAAGGGGAGGCCCCACCCCCGCCAAAGGUCGCAGGGCACUGAGGGUCCUCCUCCUCCUUCCCCCCAGGCGCUGUGCUCCAGCUGCAGGAGGGGCCUGGCAGGCAGAGCCCUCUCGCCCCACCCCACGCUGCCCAGUGUCCUGGCAGGCUCAGCAGAGGUGGCCUGCCUGGGCAGAGCAGUGGACGUGGGCUGGCUGGGAGCAGAGCAGGCCCCAGGGAGCUGCCCUUACCCGAGAGGACGGGAGAGAAGGUGACGAAAGCUCCCGAGGAAGCCGCCUCCCUUCCCAAUGGCGACGUGGUAGGAGAGGCGGAGAGCUCUGCAGAGGUAAGGGCCGCGAGCUGGAGCUCUCUUCGGGACGGCCACCGCGCCUGUCUGUCUACCUGUCCCCGUCUGUCUCUCUACCUGCCCAUCUGUCUGUCUAG